AGUAAAGUGGCGUACGGGUGAGUAACACGUGGAUAAUCUGCCCUAGAGUGGGGAAUAACGAUGGGAAACCGUCGCUAAUACCGCAUAAUCCCGAGAGGGGAAAGCAGCAAUGCGCUCAAGGAGGAGUCCGCGGCCGAUUAGCUUGUUGGUAGGGUAAUGGCCUACCAAGGCUGCGAUCGGUAGCCGGCCUGAGAGGGCACACGGCCACACUGGCACUGAAACACGGGCCAG
rnacentral:rRNA from 1 species